GCACAAGCGGUGGAGCAUGUGGUUUAAUUCGAAGCAACGCGAAGAACCUUACCAGGUCUUGACAUCCUUUGACCACUCUAGAGAUAGAGCUUUCCCUUCGGGGACAAAGUGACAGGUGGUGCAUGGUUGUCGUCAGCUCGUGUCGUGAGAUGUUGGGUUAAGUCCCGCAACGAGCGCAACCCUUAUUACUAGUUGCCAGCAUUUAGUUGGGCACUCUAGUGAGACUGCCGGUGACAAACCGGAGGAAGGUGGGGAUGACGUCAAAUCAUCAUGCCCCUUAUGACCUGGGCUACACACGUGCUACAAUGGAUGGUACAACGAGUCGCAAGGUCGCGAGGCCAAGCUAAUCUCUUAAAGCCAUUCUCAGUUCGGAUUGUAGGCUGCAACUCGCCUACAUGAAGCCGGAAUCGCUAGUAAUCGCGGAUCAGAACGCCGCGGUGAAUACGUUCCCGGGC
rnacentral:rRNA from 1 species